AGAGUUUGAUCCUGGCUCAGGAUGAACGCUGGCGGCGUGCCUAAUACAUGCAAGUCGAACGAGGUGCUUUUGUAGCAAUACGAGAGUAUCCUAGUGGCGAACGGGUGAGUAACGCGUUGGUGACCUACCCCAAAGUGUGGGAUGACAGUCCGAAAGGAUUGCUAAUACCGCAUGUGGUCUUCGGAUUUAGAAACUGAUGACUAAAGGAGCAAUUCGCUUUGGGAGGGACCUGCGUCCCAUCAGCUAGUUGGUGAGGUAAUGGCUCACCAAGGCUACGACGGGUAGGGGACCUGAGAGGGUGACCCCCCACAAUGGAACUGAAACACGGUCCAUACACCUACGGGUGGCAGCAGUAGGGAAUAUUGCACAAUGGGCGAAAGCCUGAUGCAGCAACGCCGCGUGUGCGAUGAAGGCCUUCGGGUCGUAAAGCACUUUUCUGGGAGAUGAGCAAGGACAGUAUCUCAGGAAUAAGUCUCGGCUAACUACGUGCCAGCAGCCGCGGUAAAACGUAGGAGGCAAGCGUUAUCCGGAUUCACUGGGCGUAAAGCGCGUGCAGGCGGUUCGGUAAGUUGGGCGUGAAAUCUCCUGGCUUAACUAGGAGAGGUCGUUCAAUACUACCGGACUUGAGAGUGAUAGAGGAAGAUGGAAUUCCCGGUGGUAGUGGUGAAAUGC
rnacentral:rRNA from 1 species